rnacentral:rRNA from 1 species
GACGAACGCUGGCGGCGUGCUUAACACAUGCAAGUCGAACGAUGAACACGGAGCUUGCUCCGGUGGAUUAGUGGCGAACGGGUGAGUAACACGUGAGUAACCUGCCCUUGACUCUGGGAUAACUGCGGGAAACUGUAGCUAAUACCGGAUACGACCCUCGGCGGCAUCGCCAGGGGGUGGAAAGAAUUUCGGUCAAGGAUGGACUCGCGGCCUAUCAGCUAGUUGGUGAGGUAACGGUUCACCAAGGCGACGACGGGUAGCCGGCCUGAGAGGGUGACCGGCCACACUGGGACUGAGACACGGCCCAGACUCCUACGGGAGGCAGCAGUGGGGAAUAUUGCACAAUGGGCGCAAGCCUGAUGCAGCAACGCCGCGUGAGGGAUGACGGCCUUCGGGUUGUAAACCUCUUUUAGUAGGGAAGAAGCGAAAGUGACGGUACCUGCAGAAAAAGCACCGGCUAACUACGUGCCAGCAGCCGCCGUAA